UGGGAAUUGAAUCCAGGACUUCUGG
rnacentral:piRNA from 1 species